rnacentral:rRNA from 1 species
GACGAACGCUGGCGGCGUGCUUAACACAUGCAAGUCGAGCGGUAAGGCCCUUCGGGGUACACGAGCGGCGAACGGGUGAGUAACACGUGGGUGAUCUGCCCUGCACUUCGGGAUAAGCCUGGGAAACUGGGUCUAAUACCGGAUAUGACCUUCGGCUGCAUGGCUGAGGGUGGAAAGGUUUACUGGUGCAGGAUGGGCCCGCGGCCUAUCAGCUUGUUGGUGGGGUAAUGGCCUACCAAGGCGACGACGGGUAGCCGACCUGAGAGGGUGACCGGCCACACUGGGACUGAGACACGGCCCAGACUCCUACGGGAGGCAG